AUUGAACGCUGGCGGCAGGCCUAACACAUGCAAGUCGAACGAGUGGCGGACGGGUGAGUAAUGUCUGGGAAACUGCCCGAUGGAGGGGGAUCACUACCGGAAACGGUAGCUACUACCGCAUACCAUCGGAUGACCCCAGAUGGGAUUAGCUAGUAGGUGGGGUAACGGCUCACCUAGGCGACGAUCCCUAGCUGGUCUGAGAGGAUGACCAGCCAAAAUGGGACUGAGACACGGACCAGACUCCGACGGGAGGCAGAAGUGGAGAAUAUUGAACAAUGGGCGCAAGCCUGAUACAGACAUGCCGCGUGUAUGAAGAAGGCCUUCGGGUUGUAAAGUACUUUCAGCGGGGAGGCGUUACCCGCAGAAGAAGCACCGGCUAACUCCGUGCCAGCAGCCGCGGUAAUAC
rnacentral:rRNA from 1 species